rnacentral:rRNA from 1 species
AAAAACAUAACUAUAUGUGAUCAUAUAUAGCGUUUCCUGCUCAAUGUUAUUAUAAAUUGCCGCAGUACACUGACUGUGCUAAGGUAGCAUAAUCAUUUGGCUUAUAAUUGAAGUCUUGUAUGAAUGGAGUCAUGGGGGUUUACUGUCUCAAUGAAGUUUUUUGAAAUUAUUUAGUGAGUGAAAAUACUCACGUUUAAAUAAUAGACGAGAAGACCCUUGAAACUUAAAGAAAUUUAUAUGGUCAUUUUUGUUGGGGCGACAGAGUAGCAUUUAACCUACUUAAUUAGUUUGAAUUAACUUUAAUGAGUGAAUAAGUUACUCAAGGGAUAACAGCAUAAUAUUUAAAAGUUUGUGACCUCGAUGUUGGACUAGGGUAGUAUAGCUCAAAAGGCUAUUAUUGUUGCUCUGUUCGAGCAUAAACUCCUACGUGAUCUGA